AUUGAACGCUGGCGGCAUGCCUAACACAUGCAAGUCGAACGGAGGUAGGGGCAACUCUACUUCAGUGGCGGACGGGUGAGGAAUGCGUCGGAAUCUACCCUAUGGUGGGGGAUAACACAGGGAAACUUGUGCUAAUACCGCAUAAUGUCGAGAGACCAAAGCAGGGGACCGCAAGGCCUUGCGCGAUAGGAUGAGCCGACGCCCGAUUAGCUAGUUGGUAGGGUAAAGGCCUACCAAGGCGACGAUCGGUAGCUGGUCUGAGAGGAUGAUCAGCCACACUGGGACUGAGACACGGCCCAGACUCCUACGGGAGGCAGCAGUGGGGAAUAUUGGACAAUGGGCGCAAGCCUGAUCCAGCAAUGCCGCGUGUGUGAAGAAGGCCUGCGGGUUGUAAAGCACUUUUGUUCGGGAGAAAUCAUGCUGGUUAAUACCUGGUAUGGAUGACGGUACCGAAGAAUAAGCACCGGCUAACUUCGUGCCAGC
rnacentral:rRNA from 1 species